AUACUAGUUGUGUCGAAGGGUGGACUUUGAUUAAAGGAAUGUUUGCGUUUGUCUUUCAGUGCAAGCUAAAUAGAUGUGUCUGUACUGCCACAGAAAUCAUAUCAAGUAUGCAUUGAAGAUGAACUGACGAAGUUACAAAUGACAGUUUGGGCUUAGAGUUGAAGAUUACCUUGACUUCAGAGGCUGGGUUCCCUAGUUGAUGAUGCUCUUCUUUUGAUUUGUUGUAUCGUUCAAUUACUGAUUUCAUGCUGAUAUAAUUUAUGUUGUUCAAAGCUCAUGAAGUUGAAAUCAUGUUACUUCUAGAAACAGCUUGGGGACAAUUUCCUAGAAACUUAAAUUUGCAAGCGCAGUAUUUAAAAUGAUCUUGUGGUGUUAAUGAUGAGAAGAAGAGCAACCAAAAAUAGACAAUCUUGUUCAGAGACAGAAGAGGAGAUGGACGAAAAAAUGGUAGAAAAGGAACAAUUUGGCUUAAAUCUAGGUUCUCUUAUAGGUGAUUCAUGCUGUGAAAAUGACUUCUAACUAUCUCAUCAUUUCUGUUUUUGUCUUUUUUGUUUCUGUGACUGACCAGGAACAAUUUGGCUUAAAGCUAGGUUCUCUUAUAAACUAUGUGGGAUGAUAAAUAGGACAAGUUUCAUGCAGCUGAGUUAACAACUGAGAAGGAACAUCAUUAAGGUGCAAAUUUGGUUUUUAGAUGGAUGAAAUGCAGACAGGAGUAUGUUUAUCUUUACUGCCAUGUAUACAUCCUCUCAUUGAUCAUGCUUUUCUUCUCUGGGCCUUGCAUGUCUAGAUGUAGAACCAUUCAGUGUUAUCUUUAUUGGAUUUUCUAUAGCUUAUAUUUUUAGUUAAAUUGGGUUACAUAAUGAUUCAACCCAUGGAUAAUGGUGAAACUUUUGCCUAAAGUGAGAUUCUGUAGAUCUUUUCAA